AAGACCUUGCGCUUUUGGAGCGGCCGGUGCCUGAUUAGCUAGUUGGUGGGGUAAAAGCCUACCAAGGCAACGAUCAGUAGUUGGUCUGAGGGGACGGCCAGCCACACUGGGACUGAGACACGGCCCAGACUCCUACGGGAGGCAGCAGUGGGGAAUUUUGGACAAUGGGCGCAAGCCUGAUCCAGCAAUGCCGCGUGAGUGAAGAAGGCCUUCGGGUUGUAAAGCUCUUUCAGUCGAGAAGAAAAGAUUGUGACGAAUAAUCACAAUUCAUGACGGUAUCGACAGAAGAAGCACCGGCUAACUACGUGCCAGCAGCCGCGGUAAUACGUAGGGUGCAAGCGUUAAUCGGAAUUACUGGGCGUAAAGGGUGCGCAGGCGGCUUUGUAAGUCAGAUGUGAAAUCCCCGGGCUUAACCUGGGAAUU
rnacentral:rRNA from 1 species